UGGGGAAUAUUGCACAAUGGGCGCAAGCCUGAUGCAGCCAUGCCGCGUGUAUGAAGAAGGCCUUCGGGUUGUAAAGUACUUUCAGCGAGGAGGAAGGCGUUGUGGUUAAUAACCGCAGCGAUUGACGUUACUCGCAGAAGAAGCACCGGCUAACUCCGUGCCAGCAGCCGCGGUAAUACGGAGGGUGCAAGCGUUAAUCGGAAUUACUUGGUGUAAAGCGCACGCAGGCGGUCUGUCAAGUCGGAUGUGAAAUCCCCGGGCUCAACCUGGGAACUGCAUCCGAAACUGGCAGGCUAGAGUCUUGUAGAGGGGGGUAGAAUUCCAGGUGUAGCGGUGAAAUGCGUAGAGAUCUGGAGGAAUACCGGUGGCGAAGGCGGCCCCCUGGACAAAGACUGACGCUCAGGUGCGAAAGCGUGGGGAGCAAACA
rnacentral:rRNA from 1 species